rnacentral:tRNA from 1 species
AGCAAAGUGGCCGAGAUCUUAGGCAAAAGAUUGUAGCUCUUUUUACGGAUUACCUCCCU